rnacentral:misc_RNA from 1 species
AAAUCUCCUUGAAUGUCUAUGAAUUAUUCUCUUUUGUAAAGAUUUGAACUUUGUCGCCAUAAAAUAUUGCUUAUACUUUACAUUUUAUAGCUAAACUUAUUCGUCUCGAUUUUUAUUUCAGUUCGUACAAAGUCGUUUAUUUCAAGUUCAGAUAAUAUGUAGACGAAUGGAUGAAAAGCAUUUGAAGGUAGAAAAAACUCAGUUUUUUACAAGAAUAUUUGUAACGCUGUGAUAAAAGCGAACCUGGCAAGGUUGAGCUUAUCGUUAAGCCUUGGCGUGUCCUGUUUUAGUAUUUGUUCGAGCUUGUUAAGUUGAGCAUGUCGAGACGUUUUAUUAUAAUAUCGCGUAACAGUAGGACAAUGUACAUACAAUCUAAAUUAUUAAUGAUUGUGAUACCGAGACAUUAAUUUUAAAAUUAAAAUUGUGUUGAUAAGUGUUUAUAAACUGUUCGAAGAUUCGAAGAAAGAAUGCAGCUUUUUUGAAAGAUAACAAACAGUUUAACAAGAAGACUAAUUGGAUUUGGAUUCAUGUACCUAAACAGAAAAGAUCUUUGGAAGAGUCAGUUAUAGAACCCAUCACAAUCAUAAUAAACAACAUAGGAGCUACAAUACAUACUCAGAAAAGCUAAUAUCUUUUGGACUAACAAUGUAUCGUUUUGUUGGAAAAUGUCAACGUCUCAUACAUCUUUAUAAAGAGACUAAAACCAGGAGAUAAUACUUUGGGAUAAAGGACAAAGAAGAAGAUAAGGGAAAAGCAUUCCUUGAAGGUCCCAUUGGCAGGAGAAUAGAUAUAUCCUUAAAGGCCCUCAAAUGAAUAUGAAGAAUCCAACCAAAAAGCAUUCGUGUUAGUUUGUCCUUUUUGCUGUAAAAGCAAGUGCAUUUGGUCUGUUCUCAAACGGUUGUAUUUGAUGUCGUGGAUGAGAAGGAAUGGGAGGACGUUGGCAUCAAGACAGCCCCAGGGGGUAAUAAAGCCGUAGACAGGGUGUCUACUGGAACCGGUGUGUGUGCUAUACGCAAAUAGCUGAUCCACCUAAAACCUAAUGGUCAUCAAAAUAUCUAAGAUUUUCUUCUUUCGACAAGCUGCAUUACAACACCACAGCACACCAACGUCCGACCUGUUCAUCCAAUUUCUCGGAAUUGCCAUCGCAAGCGACAGAUCCAAUCAGAAAGGACUUGCUAUGAACUGGAGUUCCAAUAUCUACAAAAUAGAGCGCAAAUCUACAAGCUGAGG